UUCAGAAGUCUUCUUCUGGGAUGAUGCCUCUUUAGAGGAAUUUCAGUGUUACUAAAUGUCCUUGUGCUUAUACGUGGCCUCCCUCUCAGCAGCGGUGGUGGCUGUCCCCAGGAGUCAUGUCAAGUCCUUGCCCCUUGUAGGGCAUUCUUCACCCUCGAUAGUGCAGCCUCCGCCUGCGUUUCCUCCUGUCUCGGAAAUGAAAGUGAUUAAGCACCGACCGGACCAUGAGCUUGGGACUUUCUUCUUUCAAAACAAAUGACUGGCCGUGUUUCUCAGGAGGACUUGAGUUCCUAACGUCCUCUGUGUCAUCAGUCCGCCGUCUCACUGUUGGUUCAGUGACACCGCAUCAGCUCUGUCUUGGAUCCCCACUUAGUCUGAAAGGCUGUGUAGAUCUCUACACUGCCAACGUAUGGGGGGCAUCCGUUUCUGUUCCUGACUGACUGCGUACAGAAACCCAGAGAAAUGACAGGACACGAUCUGAGUUGGAAAAGCCGCAGCUUACUGCCUUCAGGAUACGCUGUUUCUCCUGCAAGAACUAAAAGAGAAUUAGCCCCGCUGCACCGUUUGCAACCGAGCACAGUAGCAGCAAGAGAGAGAGAGACAGCCAGCGAGAGAGAGAACACAAGCAAGCAGGGGGAGCGGGAGAGGAAGA